AUCUAGGACGUCCAACUUAACUUGGAGUCCGAACUCUCACAUUCUAACCCUGUGCAUCUGUUUCAAAAUUGGCUAGUAGCUCUUCGGAGCGAACCACCAUUUUUCACUUAUACAAACACAAAGUCUAUGAAUGUAAACAAAUUUAUAACAAAACAAAACUUUCAACAACGGAUCUCUUGGCUCUCGCAUCGAUGAAGAACGCAGCGAAAUGCGAUACGUAAUGUGAAUUGCAGAAUUCAGUGAAUCAUCGAAUCUUUGAACGCACCUUGCGCUCCUUGGUAUUCCGAGGAGCAUGCCUGUUUGAGUGUCAUGAAAUCUUCAACCCACCUCUUUCUUAGUGAAUCUGGUGGUGCUUGGUUUCUGAGCGCUGCUCUGCUUCGGCUUAGCUCGUUCGUAAUGCAUUAGCAUCCGCAACCGAAACUUCGGAUUGACUUGGCGUAAUAGACUAUUCGCUGAGGAUUCCAGACUUGUUCUGGAGCCGAGUUGGGUUAAAGGAAGCUUCUAAUCCUAAAGUCUAUUUUUUGAUUAGAUCUCAAAUCAGGUAGGACUACCCGCUGAACUUAAGCAUAUCAAUAAGCGGAGGAA
rnacentral:rRNA from 1 species